rnacentral:rRNA from 1 species
UACGUAGGGGGCUAGCGUUGUCCGGAAUCAUUGGGCGUAAAGCGCGUGUAGGCAGUCCGGUAAGUCUGCUGUGAAAGUCGGGGGCUCAACCCUCGGAAGCCGGUGGAUACUGCUGGGCUAGAGUGCGGAAGAGGCGAGUGGAAUUCCUGGUGUAGCGGUGAAAUGCGCAGAUAUCAGGAGGAACACCAAUUGCGAAGGCAGCUCGCUGGGACGUGACUGACGCUGAGACGCGAAAGCGUGGGGAGCAAACAGG